AGGGAGGCAGGACUUUUACGAGAUGCUGAGCCUGGGGCGUUGGCUGGGGGGUGGGGGCAGUCCCCAGACCCUCCCGCUCUCCUAUACGCCUGACAGCCCUGCUUUGCUGUGCAUCCCUGGGCAAGUGGCUGCUCCUCUCUGAGCCCGAGUUCAACCUUCAUCAGACAGGACGGCAGACGGGACAUUGAGAGCGGCCAUACAUUCUGAGCUCUGGAUUUGGGCGGGACAGCUUUCCCAGACCCACUGUGUGCCCGAGAGUCUGUUACCCAGCCUAUCCUUUGCUGCUCUCAGCAGCCCUACGACUCAGUGACUCUUACUGUACCCAUUUUGCAGAGUGGAAAGCGGAGGUCCAGGGAGUCCUCUCUGUCCUACACAAAGAGACUUGAGAUGCAAUUGGACACUUGGCUGCCUGGGAAGCACUCUUUGUCCUGCACUUCUGAGAACAAAUGACCCA